UCUCUGUAGCAAAGCAGUCCACGAGGACCACGAAACUGCAGCACCAAAAAAACCCAACCAAAAAAAAAAAAACCCUAAAACCCCACAGAGCUGAAAAUGGAUAUUUGAAAAAGAAAAUAUGUGACAAAAAAACUUGGUGAUUUUGUUUUCUCAUGCCCUUACUUCUAAACCAGCUGCACAGCCAAGCUCAGGCUGCUUGGCCCUUCUAACUCUCUUGGCACCGAGUCAAAAGCUGAUAAGCAUUUGGGCGAGACAGCUCAACUGCUGUGCUGGAAGAAAAACAGCUGCCAUGAUUGCUGUUUGAUUGAGAGCGCUUACACACACUCACAAAAAAACAUAUCGGACUGCAAAGACGGGCCACAAAUGCCUGAGGAUUCAGCUUCAGAGGAUCAACACACAUUUCCUUUAAAAAAAAAAAAAGUUUUAUAUAGUUUCUCCUCCAUUUCCCCUCCCCUUUUUAAAGAAAACGUACUGCGUCGACUUGCUUUUCUUCUCCCCAUCCCCCUCCAUAACCUCAAGCAAACUCAAGGAAUUGUGCCAAAAGUCCCGUUGCUAGUUACCAAGUGCAUUUUUUUAAACGUCCCUUUGAUACUUCUUUCCCUCGUGCUUGCCAUGGAAUAUGCAAGCAAGAUAAUCUUUCCAUUACUUACAAGAAGUAAUUAAAAAAAGAAAAAAGAACUUCUAUCUCAAGGCUCCUUUCUCUUUUUCUCUCCAAAGGGGCAAAAGGAGGGAAGCAAGGGGGAGAAGGAUAUUUUUUCUCUUCGCCGAGUCCAACAUUUGGCUUUUUCCAUUUGUGGCGGAUCACUGUAACGCUAUUGUAAAACAACUUCCUGCCCCUUUUGGCUCACGUUCCAGAAGCUGCUAGGCUAAGUUCAUAGCACAAACUUUUUUCCCCCUUGCCGAAGAAGAGAGACAAAAAAAAAUUCCCUGCAAAUUAUUUUCCCCCUUUUCUGGCUAAUGGACUCACAAGGUGAAUUUAUUGCAGCUCUUUAAGAAUGUUACACAAGAGACGUCGGUAUCCCAGCCGGAUAAUUCAUAAGCUGAAAAGAGUUAUACACUUGAAACUGGUGGAAUUAAUAUUUUGCUAUAUAGCAUGCUUAAUGAUGAAAACUGACAUCAGCAGCAGCAAAUCAAAGCCGAAGACAAGAUUUUAUUUACUGGCUUCUACUUAUUUAUCAUAAAUAUGCUACAAAGUUCCUAGAAGCUAACUGAACUGCAAAUCCAUAUCCUGGAAAUCAAGCAAUGGCACAGUCACAUUUAAUUGUAUGGCCAGAUAAGCAGCAAGCUCCUCAGCUGUAAACCACAAUUUUAUUUUACUGAAAACGUAACUAAACUUUACAGUACAGCCACUUUCCCUUGGCACUGUUAAUUCCUGCUCUGACAGACUGUAAUUUAUUCUUCACGCUGAGAGCAGACAAUACAGCUCCACGCUCUAGAUCACCCUCUCUUGUUUUUUCCUGCUAGCCCACGCCACGCCGCUCCCCCCGCCCGGCCCGGCCCGGCCCGCCGCCCGACGCAGGUGGUGGUGCCGCCGCCCCGGCCCCGCUCCUACCGGGUGCAGGUGAGCGGCUGCCCCGCCGGCCUCCGUCCUCCCUACUCGAGGCAGCACCUUUUCAGUUCCUGGCUGCAGCAGCAGCAGCAGCAGCAGCCAUCAGCUCGCUGAACGGCCAGGAAGGGUCAAAACUGUUUCCUAAUGAGCACAGCAAAAGCUGCAGCUUUCUUCCCCAGCAGCACUUCUACCUCUGCCUAGAGCCAGGGGGGCGGCACUCACCCCGGGAAACGCCGCGGUUCCCGUGCCAAGUUCCCAAGCUGGAAAUAUUAACAGAUUUCUACCAUCCGAUACUCCUGUACCUUCAGCACUGACUGGCAUUUCUAGUUCUCCUGCGGUAAAGACUCUGGCCUGGCAAUACUCUUCUCCUGGUAUCACUAGCAGCACAGAGUUAAAACAAGCUGUUGGAUUUUAAAACACAGCCCUCCGUUUAUUUAAGUGGACGUGUCUCCUUAAAAUCGGAUGCCCUGCACAACUAGUGACUGAAGGGGGAAAAAAGUGAGAUAAUUAAAAAAAAAAAACCCAGAAAACACAAAACCCACAAAGAAGAAAAAGAAAGAUAAACACGUUGUAAAAAAAAAAAAGUUAAUUUUUAGAGAACAAUAAGCUGCAAAAAGUAAGCACAUGUACAUGAUGAAAUCUGUAAUGCAAACUGAAAAUUUCUUAAGUCUAAAAGGGGAUUAAAAUACCUUUAUAUUGUAAAUGACUGAAAGGCUUUUAAACUAGCCAAAAGUUGUUCAGCGACCAAGUUCUGUGAUACUAAGAAUUUCUAUUUUUUGAUUAUGAUAGAGUGCUACGAUCCUGAGCAAAGUGGAUUGUAGUGUGAACAACAAUGACAUAUAACAGAAAUUCCUUAGUGGUUUUUUGGUAGUGAAAUGUUAGUAAAGAUGAAAAUUAUGCAUAAAUUGCAAGAAAAUAAAAAGGGAUGUCCAUAAUGGUAACAUAUUCAUUGCAUAGUUGCAAUUAUUUAGUACGCAGAGACACUUAAUCCAAAAUGGUUGUAGAGACAGAAUUCACAGGGAUGCAAUCUGUUUGAGCUGAAUAUUAGUAUCAUAUCUAUUUUAUGUAGCCAACUUCAGUUUUACAGUUCAAGCUAAUAUUUCUCUUUAGCCCAUUAAAACUAAAAUAUAUGGUACAUAAGGUGCAUCUUAGAUUCAUCUAUCUUGGGUCUCUAAAAUAUCACUGGAAUGUCAAACUGUAACGGCAUAUAUUGGCACCAGUAAAUUUAAAUCCCUCGUCUUGAAAAAAAAAAUAAAUCUUAACAUGAACAAUAUUGACACAUUGUUAUUAUCAUAAAAUAGAAUGUUGAGAGAGUAAUAAUCCUAUUGCAAGUAUUCAUAUAUUUAUCUGGACAGAUAAUACAGGUUUCUACAUUUUUUAUGUCAGUUGCAGGUCUAAAUGAUAGUUGUGAAAAAAGAACACCAUCUUCUGCUCAGUACUUCAUAAAAUUUGUGUUCCAUGAAGUGUCUUCCUGGGAAUCAUUUGGGGUUUUUCUUCCCGUCUGUCAUGUUAAACUUAGUAAAGUUGUCACACUCGCAUUACUAAAUUUCUUACAUUUUGAAGGCCUGUCUAAAUUUACAUAUUCAGCUUUAACAGUAUUCUGCUACUUUUCAGUUUUAGUAAACAAAAUGUCACACACACAUGUGAUUCUGUAUUUCCUUUGUCCAGAAAGACGUAUUCCCACAGAGACACGUUUAAGCAUUCCAUGAUCUAUACACACACGUUUGACAAAAAUACCAGAAUAUACAGAAAGGAUGUUAGAAAAUGGUAGGGACAACUGCCCCACUCCCGGACACGGACCGUGAAGGAGGCACGGCAGUAGAAGUUCAAACGCCUCCACUAUGAGCAGCUGCAGCGGUGGAGUGACGGCUCUGGGACGCCAAAGCAGAUGCGGCAGCAGCAAGGCCUCAACUCAGAGCAUCACGCUCUGAAAGGAACCCUUUCUGUUCAUAUAGAGCCACCUAUACAUUAUAUUACCUUUAUGUUACAUGGCAUGUAAUACGGGUUUUUAAAAAAAGAGGGCCAUUUCGGUGUUGCCAGCAAACCAGAAGUUUCUUGCAAAAAAUCUUUUGUUAUAAUUUUAAAAGAUAAAUCAGCACCUAUGCAGAUUAGAUGUGAGCUAUCAUUUAAUAAAGGUUAUUUUAAUGAAGUUUAUUACAAUCUGACAAAACCAAUACAAACACUCUUAUAAAGAAAACAUUCAAUGGAGUUUUUACUAUGCCAUCUACACUAAUAAAGUCCAAUACGAAUGAUAACACUGGCAUCACCAAAAAAAAAAGGGGGGGGGGGGGGCAGAACUGUGAAAAGCUGCUUCCAGACUUAAUUCAGUGAACUAUGUUUUUCAGUUGUUUAAAAACACUUCCUUUUCAGAAUACUGAAAAUUCCCAGUGGAUAUCAGUGACUAAUCCACAGAAAUUUCAAGUUUCAAAUUUAACCAUUUUUUCCUAGGGCAUAAAUAUAUUUUACCGGAGAUUUUAGAUGGAUGAUAAAAGCAUUGAAAUGUUAAAAGGUCAAUUCUUAACUUUUUCUGGGACUAUAAAUUUAUCAACAGAAAUGUAAUGCAAUGAAUUUUUCUUGGUCCACCAAAAAUUUCAAGAAAACUGCACCGUGUUUUUUCUAGUCCAAACAAGUAACUUAAUAAGAAAAUUGUGCAGGAAAAGAAAAAAAAAAGACACAGAGACUUUUUGCCUGUUGGCAACAGGACAGUGAGACUUGGUUCAAAAUAGAGAACUCUCCCUGACUCAAUUAGAAAUACAUCUGGUUUUCAAAAACUUUUGAAGCCAAAUACCAAAAUCAAAGUUGUCAUCUAAAGCCCAUAUUACUUCCAUCAUUUAUUUGUAAGAAAAUUAAACAAUUCUCCAUUCCCCCCAACAACCGUUUUAACAAAAUCACAUACUUCAUCUCCUCUGCAUGCGUGUGUCCACACACAUGCACAUGUGCUGUGUGCAAUAUGGUAGACCUACACACGAGACAGGUAUAUAUGCGUAUAUAUGCAUUUAUGGUCUCGUUACAACAGCCCAGGAAGUAUGAAUAUUAUUAGAGUAGGUAAUACCCAGUUUACAAAAUAUGGCUCAAUAGAAAUCACAAUAUUUUAAUAAUGCAGCCUAAAGAUUACUAACAAGGGUUACAUCUUAAUUGUAACAGGAAAAACAUAGAAGACGUGCUUCAGGACUGAUUUUUUUCUAGCUAUACAAAUAAACAUCAUUUAAAAACAUUAAUAUUUCUAAAAUAUAAAGAACUAUACAAAAGAAGUUGAUAAUAACAGCACUACAUCAGCAGUAAUUUUAUCCCUUCAACAUUAUCGUAACAACUCAUCACUACAUUCAGAGAACACGUACAACUAACUGCUCCGUGACUACUCGAAUGCAAGACCUACUCCUGAAACACUUAGAGAGACUGACAUAAAGAUCAGGGAUUUUGUCUAAUAAAGCACUGCACACGUACACCGAAAUGUUGUUCCAGCACUCAGCUGGCAGUGCUCUGAGUUUUCAGCACAGAGGCGAAAGCAAAAUAGAUACUUAAGAUUCAUUGUGGGGACUCACAAAACACAAUUUUGCUUUAAUGCUGUACUUACACACAAGCUCGUAUAGCAAAUGGGUAUCCCCAUACAUACAGGGGAAGCUUUUUAUAGGAAUAUCAGAUUUACUGUAUUAUUGUUCAGCUUUUACUGGCCAGCUAAUGGCCAAAACCUUAAUCAGUCUAAGAAAUUUAUUGGAAAACGAUCGGAAAAGGCCAUUUUGUGCUGGAACGACAAUGUUAUUCCAGCUUUCGUCUUUGCUUUUCCCUAACAGGGAACGCCAUUUUGAGGCUGUCAUGCAUUUUUCUUUCCCAAGCGGAUAAUGCCAGUGGAAAACAUGAGGAUGGUAUCCUUGUAUCAUAGAAAAAUGUAGCAAUGCAGUUUCACAGAGAAGUAACAUUUUUAUUUUUACAGGUGCAACUGAAGUCUGUCUUGUAUUUUCUGCUCAAUUAUUAAUUUAAAAACCAUACACACAUAAGUGUAUGAUAUGCAGCUAUCUGUAUCCAUUUAGCAUUUUGAAACUUUCACAUAUUUCUUUUUUAUUCAAGUAUUCAAUGGAAAGAGGCAGAAGAAGAGAUUUUACCAGAAGACAAAUCAGGCAAAUAAGCAUUUACUUCAAAUGAAUUUUGCUGAGUUACAGUGGGCCUAAAUAUAUAUCCGGCAGUCCAGUGUUUAGAAAAAUCUUUAUUUUCAAAAAGUGAAGAAUAGACUCAGUAAUUUCCAUAGUGCAUCUAAAGCCUGACCAAACCCAUGUUCUGUAAGACUAGUUUUUAAUUUUUUCAUUUUUUUCUCUCCUUAGAUAAACUGAUAUAUUGCAAAUCAUUAUCCAAAGGAUCAAGGAAAUCAACAGAGAAAUAGAAAUGGCUUAAUACUAAAGGCGGAAUAGACAGGUGUACAACAGUUGCUUAACAGAGGAGGCUGUUAAAUAUGAAUGGUUCUUCCUUAGUUUUCACUGCAGGGGUCCUAUUUGGAAACAAUUUUGAUAAAGCAAAUUUAGAAAAAUAAUACAGGAGUUCAUAUUUCUAAUUUCAGUAACAUCUUUGUCUAGGAAAUGAGAAAAGCCUUAACCACCAUUAAGCUUUACCAGGUACACUAGCCGGAGAAAUCACUGCCAGAAAGAGUAACGCUGAAAAAUCAAGUUCAUCCGGUAAAAUAGACUAUUCUCUGCCCAUUCUAUUAAUCCAAACUUUGCCAGAGAUAAAUCUUUUCUUUUAAACAGUAAAACAAAAAACCAAAACAAACAAACAAAAGUCCUGGGAGUUCUGAAUCAGGGACAUCCAAAGCAAAAAAUCUCCAAAAGGCCUUACUUAAUAAGAAGCUUUUAGAAGAGGCCCUUCUACUACCACAUCUUAGAUUAUCAUAUUGCGUGUUGAAAUACUUGACGUGCACUCAGAAAAAUUAGUUUUCCUUUCAAGCAAACACUUACUAUAUUUAUUGUAAGGUUCCAAUAUCUUUUCGAAGAAAAAAAUAUUUUAAAAUUUUAAUAUUGGCUGAGCAUUUUCUUCUUUUUUUCCCUCCCCCUCUAAGCAGCGGUCCACAUUUUAAAAUGCUCUUACAGCUCAUCACCUCCAAACAAAGCACAACUGUAUCAGUGCUUUAAGGAAAAACAAAACAAAAAAAAAAAAGGAACACAACUGACAUUGCCUUGACACUCUGCAGAUAACAGAAACACAAUACUACUACUGAAGAACACAUGGUGAAAGGGGAGAGAUCUUGUAUUUUCAUUACUAAACAUACUAAUUAUAACUAAUUAACACAAGUGAGGAAUAACCUGACAGUAUUAUUUUUAUUGGAUAACAAGUAUAGAAAAUAUAUCUUUCCUCUCUGGCUUCCAUGAAAAUCUAAAGCUAAUGGACUUUGGGAAUUUCAAGUAACGAAUAAAGGACACAGAAUUGCUGUAGUCAGCAUCACUUGCUGCUCACGUACUAACUCUCUGCUGUUCGCAUUUGGCUCAGCUUUGAAUGCAAGUUUUCAUUAAAGGAGAAUGAUGUUUGAGUUACUUGCCCACUUCUUAUAUUCAAAUAGCUUAUUUUGCUGCAUUACAGAAUGUACUUUUAAAUCUAAGAGUAGGUGAUUGGAAGUGUUUAAAUAAUACAACUUCAAGAAAAGUAAGAGAAAGACGUAACAUUUUACUUUAAAUGAGUGGAAUGCAAAGAAAACAAAUUAAAGUGAGGAAAGAGAAAGAAAAAGAGAAAAAGAGAGAAAGAAAAAAUUUUGCUGUCUUACACGUAAGAGAGCUACAGUAUUCUAGAUCAGGCAAAUCUGUAUUACAGCACAUCAUCUGAAGGAGGAAAAAAAGAAAAAAGAAAAGGCUUGGAAGUCUGCAACAGUUAAACAAAGUGGCAUACUCCCUUCUCAGAGAGAAGAGUCUAGUACAGCAGGCAAGUCUGUGUACCAAAUGCAGCCGCACCAUCACAGGCUCUCUGCCCAGCCCUGCCCUAUGCCUUGGAAAAGCCUCAGGAGAAGGAUGCUCUGGGCAAGGCGGAGGCACUGGGGAUCUCCUGCCCAUGCACUCCUGCCGCCCCCCAGGCAGGAUUGAGCCACCUCCGGCGUGGUUAAGCCUCCCACAAGGGUGGGCUGAACACGAGAGGUGCCCACAACUGUACAGAAGACACUGACUGAGAAGCAUCUGUUGGAUAGCUUACCACUUAUUACUACAGCAGUCUAAAAGGAGGCAAAAGAAGCACAACUGCAACCAGCACAGCAGCUAGCAUUUGCAGGAUUGUACCCUAAACCAGCAGUUGCAUCAGGUGAACCCACCCUGCACUCCUUCAUGCCAAUAUGUUAGGGUCUUCCAGGGAUUUAUAGUGGUAUAAAACAUGAAAAAACAACCUGGUAAGCUCAGAAAUACCCAAGUCUGAGAGCUAAAAUUUACAGUCAUACACAUUUUUACCUUGAUCCUAUUCACGUCGACAGCCACUGAAGCCUCGAAGCUUACCAUCGUAGUAUUACUUAUUUUUGCAAUGACAACAUUAUAAGCUCCCCUCAAUACACACACACAGCCCUUGUGCUCAGUUUUAACCCUGCUGUGUUUUACACAACUUGGCUGUCAUCAGCAAUUAAGGGCUUUUUCUUUUUUUUUUUAAAUGGAAAAAAAUACGGAAAAGCAGUAGUUUGACUGCAGAUAUAUGUUUACAGUUUAAUUAUUUUAUGGUGUAUCAUUGUAUUUCUGUAUUUUAUUGCUGAGCAAAGAACAGCAUAUAGAUGAAAAAUAACCAACAUCUUUCAGUGAAAGGUAAUGGUUUUCGAUAUGUGAGUCUUCCAGAUAAUUUAUCUCAGCUUCCAUGUUUAUAUAUGCUCCCUGCUCACAGCAACUAAAAAGGAGAUGCAUCAUAUUCUGCCACCAGUUACUUCUGAAGCCAAAAAGAAAAAUCUGCAUUUUUGCAUAAAAUUAGUGAUAAAUAUGAGAAAUUCAGAGUUCACUUUGGCUUAGUACUCCACACUCACCAUGCUCGGCUUUGCAGGGCCCUGUAUGCGUGCGUGCGUGCAUUUACUUGGUGCAACACAAAGAAAGUGUUAUGAAAAAGGUGAUGAAUACAAUCUGCUGGGACACAGCAUCACAUUUCCUUACAGGCUGAGGAACAAAGCUUAUUUUGAGACCUCAGAGGCCCAAGUUUAAUGCUGCAAUUGCCAUGCGGUUUCUCGCUUUCUUUUCAGAGAAAAAUUCUCUAAUUUUCACUAUCUAAUGCUUCUUCAUUUGGGACAGUCCAGUGAGGGGGGAAAAAAAAGUUUAAAGGCUGAAGACAGAGAAAUUGAAUUACUGGCAGCACAGGGGGAAGACCUAAGCAAUAUAUUUAGUUCAACGAGGGAUUAAGCGCCACAGCCAUCGGUAAGUAAAGAGCUAAUACGUGCCCUUUGAAACAGUUUGACUUUUACUCUCGCCGUGACUGCUGCACACUUGGAGGCUGGGGUGAAGCAAACCUGAUACUCUGCCAUUCUCUGCCAGCACGUGCCUAAAUUAGUUCUCCAUUUUGUGGUGGCCCUCCGAGAGCAAUUCCCAUUGAGAAGUGAACAAAGGCCGCGACCCCGGGGUCAGAGUGUAAUGCAGGAAGCAUGACCUCCCCUUUGUUCAGAACAGCACUGUUUACUCUGCCUAAGUAAAGAUCACCAAUACAUUAACUAAAGAGGAUUAAAAAGGUCAUAUCCUUAGGGAUGGAGCUCGCGCAAGUGGCAACUCUCUUCAGUCACUAAAUCAUUUCACUUCCCCUGUACACCCCUUCAAAACAGAGACACCUUCAGCUGCCAAGGCUCAAUGGCACAUUCUUUCCAGAGCAAAAGUCCGUACAAACUUCGUGUGGUCUUCCUUCUAAAACCAGGUUAACUUCUGCACAGCUAGCCAGCUCUUUUGAAGUUAUUUUUGAAGUUAUAAAAAUAUUUCAAGUGAAAACUACCACCCCAAUACAAAUUUUUUUUCUUUUAGAUCUCCUUUUGAAAAGUUAUAAAGUUGAUUGAUAAAAUUGUUUAGGUCUUAAAAUGGUUAUUAAAAAGUGUAAACUUUUGUAGCUAUCAUCAAUGUGAACCUUAAAAUAUCCUGUAGAUAGGCAGAAAAGUUGCCUGUUGCUAUAGACUAUUGCCAACUCCAGGAUGGUUCACUUGCAAAAAAGAAAACAAGGAGAAUAAAGUGAAAAUAUGCUGCCUAUGAGAAUUCAUGUAUGCUGAUAGCUAGGCUUAAUCAGGCUAAGUAAGCACUUCUUUGGCCGUUAAGCUUUCUGUUAUCAACUUUUUUAUAAUAUCUUAGAACAUCAUUAUUAAUAUGAAAUAUGUUAACAGAAGCAUCUCUUGAAACAGCUAAAUUAAUGCUGCACUGGUAACAUACAGGAGGCAAUGCAGCCAGUUAGACAGCAUGCUGGACUGUCUCCUUUCCAUUCUCGCCUCUAAUCCACUGGCCUGCUGGAUGAUCCCAACUUUUGCUGUGUGCCUUGGUUCCUCAUCUGUGGUGAUAUCGCUUGCUGGGAUGCAGAUGUUACCAUCAGUUACUUGGCCAGGAUGGGAGAAAAAGAGCAUGUGGAAGGGAGUGGUCUAGACCAAGAUAUUAUCCCCUCUCUACCCUCAGGCAGAAGCACUUCUGACGAAGCUGAACAUCGCUAGAGGUUCCAGAAGACAGUAAUAGGAAUAAGGCCAGGCAGGGGGGCCAAGCUGAUCAAAGUCUUUGGCGCAGAGAGCUCAGCACCACAGACGAACCCCACAGGGGCUAAAUGCAGUUGAAAGCAGUAGCAGAUCACCCAUCAUGCCAGUAACUUUGAAAGGAGGAGUGCCAAACUCCAAAACCCAAGGUCCUAGAGCAGCACAGCACAGGAGUUGACUGCAUGGAUUGCAUGGGGGUGGGGGUGAGAGCGUGUCCUUCAAUUCUCAGAUACUUUAUGCAAAAUAGCUAUUUUUGAAUCCACAACAAUACAUGCAGCUUUCUAGUCUCUAGCAACAUGAAUUAAUGCAUAAAGUGUGGCAGGCUGAGGUCUUGUUAUACCCAGCCUGCGUGCACACUGCUACCCUCUGCUCCUUCUCGUCUCCUUCUAGCCCUGCAUCCCCAAGCAUCAGGCAGUAUGAGGAAGGAAGAUUCUUUGCUCUCCUCUUCAGGACAUUUGAGAAGUCACCUUCCUUAUUUGCAGGCUUCUUCGUAGCAGGAAGCCAUGCAUUUCAAAUGUUUUUUAAAAGGAUCUGAACAGAUAAAUGAAAUCAAGAAUCAAAUAAAAAUAACAUUACGUUUGUCUUA